rnacentral:tRNA from 1 species
AAAAUAUAACUGUGCGAUUCAGUUUGGUUUGAUAAUUAAAAUCUUACUUAAUUUUGUUUUGAUUUUAUGAGAAAUA